rfam:Myotis davidii contig69413, whole genome shotgun sequence.
GCCCAUGUGGCUCAGUGGUUGAGCAUCGACCUAGGAACCAGGAGGUCACGGGUUCGAUUCCCGGUCAAGGGCA